AUUGAACGCUGGCGGCAGGCCUAACACAUGCAAGUCGAGCGAGCGGAGGACGGGUUAGUAAUGUAUGGGGACUGCCCGAUAGAGGGGGAUAACUACUGGAAACGGUAGCUAAUACCGCAUACUAUCGGAUAACCCAUAUGGGAUUAGCUAGUAGGUGAGGUAAUGGCUCACCUAGGCGACGCUCCCUAGCUGGUCGGAGAGGAUGCUCAGCCAAACGGGGAAUGAGACACGGCCCAGACUCCCAGGGAGGCAGCAGUGGGGAAUAUUGAACAAUGGGCGCAAGCCUGAGGCAGCCAUGCCGCGGGUAUGAAGAAGGCCCUAGGGUUGUAAAGUAGUUUCAGUCGGGAGGCGUUACCGACAGAAGAAGCAACGGCUAACUCCGUGCCAGCAGCCGCGGUAAUAC
rnacentral:rRNA from 1 species